UCGAGGGGCAGCAUAAAUUACUUGUAAUUUGAUGGCGACCGGCGAACGGGUGCGUAACGCGUAUGCAACUUACCUUUUACUAGAGAAUAGCCAAGAGAAAUUUUGAUUAAUGCUCUAUACACUUAUUAAUUCACAUGAAUCUAUAAGAAAAGCUCCGGCGGUAAAAGAUGGGCAUGCGUCCUAUUAGCUUGUAGGUGAGGUAAUGGCUCACCUAAGCUCCGAUAGGUAGGGGCCCUGAGAGGGGGAUCCCCCACACUGGUACUGAGACACGGACCAGACUCCUACGGGAGGCAGCAGUAAGGAAUAUUGGACAAUGGACGAAAGUCUGAUCCAGCCAUGCCGCGUGCAGGAUGACUGCCCUAUGGGUUGUAAACUGCUUUUAUACAGGAAGAAACACUCCGACGUGUCGGAGCUUGACGGUACUGUAAGAAU
rnacentral:rRNA from 1 species